UACGUAGGGGGCAAGCGUUGUCCGGAAUCAUUGGGCGUAAAGCGCGUGUAGGCGGUCCGGUAAGUCGGUUGUGAAAGUCCAGGGCUCAACCCUGGGAUGCCGAUCGAUACUGCCGGACUAGAGUCCGGAAGAGGCGAGUGGAAUUCCCGGUGUAGCGGUGAAAAUGCGCAGAUAUCGGGAGGAACACCAAUGGCGAAGGCAGCUCGCUGGGACGGUACUGACGCUGAGGUGCGAAAGCGGUGGG
rnacentral:rRNA from 1 species